GCUACGGGAGGCAGCAGUGGGGAAUAUUGGGCAAUGGGCGCAAGCCUGACCCAGCAACGCCGCGUGAAGGAAGAAGGCUUUAGGGUUGUAAACUUCUUUUGUCAGGGACGAAGCAAGUGACGGUACCUGACGAAUAAGCCACGGCUAACUACGUGCCAGCAGCCGCGGUAAUACGUAGGUGGCAAGCGUUAUCCGGAUUUACUGGGGGUAAAGGGCGUGUAGGCGGGACUGCAAGUCAGAUGGGAAAACAACGGGCUCAACCUGUGGCCUGCAUUUGAAACUGUAGUUCUUGAGUACUGGAGAGGCAGACGGAAUUCCUAGUGUAGCGGUGAAAUGCGUAGAUAUUAGGAGGAACCCCAGUGGCGAAGGCGGUCUGCUGGACAGCAACUGACGCUGAGGCGCGAAAGCGUGGGGAGCAAACAGGAUUAGAUACCCGGUAGUC
rnacentral:rRNA from 1 species